rnacentral:rRNA from 1 species
AACCUCCGCAAUGUGAGAAAUCGCGACGGGGGGAUCCCAAGUGCCAUUCUUAACGGGAUGGCUUUUCAUUAGUGUAAAGAGCUUUUGGAAUAAGAGCUGGGCAAGACCGGUGCCAGCCGCCGCGGUAACACCGGCAGCUCUAGUGGUAGCAAUUUUUAUUGGGCCUAAAGCGUCCGUAGCCGGUUUAAUAAGUCUCUGGUGAAAUCCUGUAGCUUAACUGUGGGAAUUGCUGGAGAUACUAUUAGACUUGAGACCGGGAGAGGUUAGAGGUACUCCCAGGGUAGAGGUGAAAUUCUGUAAUCCUGGGAGGACCGCCUGUUGCGAAGCGUCUAACUGGAACGGUUCUGACGGUGAGGGACGAAAGUUAGGGGCGCGAACCGGAUUAGAUACCCGGGUAGUCCUAACUGUAAACGAUGCGGACUUGGUGUUGGGUGGCUUUGAGCUGUCUCAGUGCCGAAGGGAAGCUGUUAAGUCCGCCGCCUGGGAAGUACGGUCGCAAGACUGAAACUUAAAGGAAUU